rnacentral:lncRNA from 1 species
GCGGCAAUACAAAUAGGCCAAAAAGAGAAAAACAGCCCAAAAUAGCACAGAUAUUGAAAAUCAGGACAGAGAUAAUUUCUCUACACAUAAAAAGCAAUCAAUUGCUAUGCCUUCACUAAUUCAUUAACUGCAAAACAAAGCCUGUUUGUUUGGUACAGCACCAGCUACCCCAUGUUUGAAUUGUUAUGUGACUGAAGUGUGAGAAAUUUGAAUCAUUUAUUCUCCAAAAAGUUUUGCUCACUUAUUAUGCAAGUUUCAGGUCAGAAAAUGUCCACGGUCUUUCCCAUCACAGAGUUUACCAUCUAGUUGUGAGGAAGACAUUGGACCAAUUAUUACCCAAGUGAACCUCUAAUUGCAGACAUAAGAACAAAGACAGCACCAGCCAGGAAGCCUGACCUAGUUUGCAAGUCAAGGAAGACUUCCUGGAGGAAAUGAUAGCUAAACUGGAACCUGUCAGGCCAGGGAUCUAGCUCAGUGGUGCUGCCACCUGCCUCACAAGUGCAAGGUCCCAAGUUUGAUCCCUGAUACUAAAAAAAACAAAAACAAACAAACAAAAAAAAAAACAAUAAGCUGGAACCUGUCAAUGUGGAUAAAUCAGCCAGGUAAAGAAGUAGAUAAAGUGUUCUAGACAAAGAGAACAGCAUUUAGGGAAGUAGACAUGGCAGGGGAGGACCUUGAUGUAGCCAAAGAAUGGAAAACAACAUGUAUUGUGUGAGUGACAAGUAACUGGAGAGUGGGAAAAGUGUGGCUAGAGUUGGAGGCAGAGUCUGGUCUUAGAGCCUUGCUGGAUCACAUGACAUUAGAGCAACAAUCGUUGCUGGACUUGGGUCAGAAGCAAAGAUAAGAGACAUGAAUAAGACCAGGCCCCUCAAGGAUAUUCUGGGCUUCUCGAGGGAACAGCCUAGGAAAAGGUCCAUCUCCCUGGACUGGGCUUAGAGGCACUGCUGGAUAUUCCCCAAUUCUCUGAGCACCCAAGAAAGUCUGUGCAGAGACAUCCAGGACCAUGCCUAACCCAAGACUACUCCAAGCAUCUCUCCUCGAGCCAAUCCUUCUUUUAUUUUCAAGAUGGCACAUCUGUGCUCAAACUCCAGGCCUCAUCUCCCAAGCUCAAAGAGGAAGAACAAUUUACUUCCCUGCCCAGGUCACUUUCCAGUGUCUAAGAGGGUUUCUGGGACCACUGCUUCAGCUGCAGCCUUAAUUCCUUGAUUGCCACCUACAACCCAGCACAUGCAAAGGGGCCAGGGACAGAAUAAUGCCAAGCAUGCCAGACACCAAUUGGCACUGAAUCUAAUCAAAGACCGUUGUUGAUCUCUUUCUUGAUAAAUAUUUAUUAGAGAAUGGAAAAAAAAUCUUUAACAAACUCUCAUAUGAGCAUACGUUGGAUGUACUCAGAAUACAUAGGAUCCCUACCCAGGGAGUGGCAGGAACAGUAUUCCCCUUGUCACCACUAAAGAAAGCAACUCUAUGAAAUGGAGAAUGUUCUCCAAUUAGAACCCAAGGCAAUGGAUCAAAAUUUAUAAUAUGCAGUCGUGAAUUAUAGAACAAUCAGAGAAAUGAUCCCAUAUAGAAACCUGCCAUGCCAGGAAUCUCAGCAAUUUUCUAUGAGAACUCAUCACUAGACAGCCCCCACUGAAACCACACCUGUCCUCAGCCUCCCACCCAUGAUCCCAGGCUAUCAGGCCAGGCUUAGGCUUUUUCUUUUCUUUUUUAAAAUUUGUUAUUAAUAUAUGUUUGUGACAUAUAAUAAUUACAUUCAUUUUUGGGAAUUGGUACAUUCACAUAUUGCAUGUUGAUCAUCUUUACUCUUCUUUCCCUUUCCCCUCUUUUCCUUUCCCAGAUCUUCCCAUCUUCAAAAUCUUCCUGUUUCCUGCCAUCUUUAUUUUGCUGUUUAAAUUAUUUAUAUUUUGGCUUUCUCAUAUGAAAAACCAUGUGAUAUUUAACCUUCUGUGUCUGAUUUACUUCACUUAGCAUUAUAUCUCAAGAUCCAUCAAUUUUCCUACAAAUAACUCAUAUUUAUCCCUCUUAUGGCUGAGUAGUACUCUAUUGUGUAUAUUUUCCACAUUUUCUUUAUCCAUUCAUUUGUUGAUAGGCAUACAGUAUAGGUAACUUCCAGAAUUUAGCUAUUGUGAACUGUGCUGCUAUAAACAUGAGUAUUCAUUAAUCAUUAUAAUAUGAUAACUUUAACUCUUUUGGAAAGAUACCCAGAAAGGGUAUAACUGGGUCAAAUUGAAGUUUUUUACUUUUAGUUUUCUGAGAAAUCUCCAUACUGAUUUUCAUAGGGGUUCUACUAGUUUACAUUCCCAUUAACAAUGUAGAAGUUUCCUUUAUCCCCACAACCUCACCAAAAUUUGUUGUUUCUUGAGUCUUUGAUGAUACCCAUUCUUACUGAAGUAAGAUGGAAUAUCAGUGUUUUGAUUUUUGUUUUUUAAUGGCCAAAGAUGCUGAAAAGCUUUUUAUGUACUUAUUGGUCAUUUGCACUUCUUUUAAGAAGUGCCUAUUCAUUUCAAUUGCCCAUUUUUGAUUGGGUCUUUUGUUUUUUGAGGUCUAAUUUUUUUUCAGUUCUUUAUAAAUUCAAAAUAUUAGUCUUCUCUUCAAGGAGUAGCUGGUAAAAUUAUUUUCCCAUUCAGUAGGUUAUCUCUUCAAUCUAUUUCCUUUGCUAUGCAGAAGUUUUUUUUAAUUUGGGGUAAUGCUAUUCUUAUAUUAUUUCAUGUAUAGUUUGGGAUUCUGUUCAAAAAGAACUAUGCCUAUGCCUUUGUCUUCAAGAAUUAGAUAUUUUGUCUUCCAGCAUGUUCAGCAUCUGUUGUUAUAUGUAGGUCUUUGAUCUAUUUUGAUGUUAUAUUAGCUUAGGAUGAGACGGAUGGGUCUAGAUUCAUUCUUCUACACAUGGAUAACUAAUUUUCCCAGCACCGUGUGUUAAAGAGACUGUCUUUUCUCCAGCAUUUGUUUUUAGUACCUUUGUCAAAGAUCAGACUAAAGGUGAAAAGGGCUGUUUCUGUAUCUUCUAUUCUUUUCCAAUGCUGUACAUGUCUAUUUUUUAUCCUCUUUUGAUGAUUAUAGCUUUGUAGUAUAACUUGAAAUAUGGAAUUGUAAUGCCUCUUGCUUUGCUCUUAUUGUUCAGGAUUGCUUUGGCUCCAUAUAAAUAGCCUCAUAUAAAUUUUAGGAUUGUUUUUUCUAGUUCUGUGAAGAAUGUUGUUGGUAUUUUGACUGGAAUUGCAUAAAAUCCAAGUAUUAUUUUUGAUAAUACGGUCAUUUUGACAAUAUUGAUUCUGCCCAUCCAGGAAUGUAGGAUAUCUGCCCAUUUUCUAAUGUCCUCUUCAAUCUUUCUUCAGAGUGCUAUAGUUUUCCUUAUAGAUAUUUUUCACUUCCUUGGUUAAGUUAGUACCUAAGUAUUUAAUUUUUUUUUUUUUUUUUUUUUUUUUUUGGUACCCGGGAUGGAACUCAGGACCUUGCGCUUUUGAGGCAGGCAGCGGAACCACUGAGAAAAAUCCCUGGCCCCAGUAUUUAAAUUUUUUGAAGCUACCAUGAAUGGGAUUGUUUUCCUAAUUCCUUUCUUAGUGGGUUCAUUGUUGAUGUACAGUCUUGGAGAUUUUCAAGUUCAGAGUGAACUAUCAGUGAGAAAUCGAGCUUGAGGGUUCUGGAGUCAGGAGUAGACUCACAUCCAGCUCUAGAUACUUCCAAGCUGGAUGACUCCAGGCAAGUGGUUUAAACUUCUAAACCCAGUUUUCUCCUCUGUCAAGUAAAAAUAAUAGCUUCUCUAGAAAGAAUAUGUAUGAGGAUAAUACCUGCAAAACUCUCAACACAGAGCCUAGCACAGGGUAAAUGUUCAUUAAAUAUUUGGAACCUUGCUCCCCUCUCUACCAGCUCAGAUUGGUUGCCAAAAAUUCUGGUUCUCAUUGUAUUUGUGGGAACUGCUUCUCCUUCAAGCCAGCCUAAAAGAGCCAGUUUGCUCACUUUUGCCCAGCUGGGCUAGCAGCAUCCACCUCUUCUCAGCCAGCAUUUAGCUCAGUGCUAGCCUCUUCUCUCUAUUUAACACCAAAAGGUAUUGAUUUUCCUAAGCUAUUUCCAUUAUGCAGUACCCUCAAGAACUAUUUAUUCCAUCAGUUCUCAUCCCCUCUUUUUUUUUCUUUUUCUUUUUCUUUUUUUUGUACUGGGGAUCAAACUUGGGUCCUUGUGCUUUGGAGGCAGGUGGUGGAAACACUGAGCUAAAUCCCCAGCCCAAAUCCCCUCUUUUUUUUUUUUUUUUUGGUACCGGUGAUCGAACUCGGGACCUUGCGCUUGCGAAACAGGCACCGGAAGCACUGAGCUAAAUCCCCAGCCCCCAAAUCCCCUCUUCAUAGCCACUCUCCCUUGACCCACAGGAUCCUCAGCUGCUGAGGUAUAGAUCUGUUUCAUUUUGCACUUGCUUAAAGGUCAAACAUGAAUUUCUCCCCAUUAUUGUACUGCAUCUUGUCACACAGACUCUUUGUUUCAUGGAUUAGUCACAGUCUUGCUAUCAAAUUAAAUAUUCCUCGGUGGUUAUUUUUAGAGAGAUCUUUUUCUAACUCUAUGUGGUACAAUGAUGUGUGUGCACCCACAGCUCUGGAAUCCAGGCAUUACCAGGUGGGCUUCAAAAUGCCUCUAGAAAGCAGCAGCCAGCAGAGCAGUGAAGUUUGUAACCUAGCUCUGGCCAUGGGCUUCUACAUCCAGCCCACAAUAUUUAAUCCUCUCUGCCUUGGAUGAGAAAUAAUUCAUUAAUCAGUCUACUAGAAGCCCUAAAGAGACUCUUAGCACAACUCUUAUGAGUUGAGCAAAGCAUGCCUGUGCUAUCUCAAUCUCUUGUUUGGCUGUCUCCUCUAUCCUAGUGUAAGGACACCAAGGAUAAUAGUCCCCUCAGUCCUUGUACCUUCAUGAAGCUUGCUCUCAGAAAAGGGCCUAUCACCAUCCUGACUGAGACCUGAGUCAAUGAUAGUGGUUACAUCCCUGUUUCUUCCUAUAGGUUCUGCCUGCACACUCAGGCAUGCCUCAGUAGAGAAAUGAGGUCUUCAAAACAGAACAGAAUCUCAGAUCUAGUUGGAGUGGGUAGACAUGGGAAGAAGGAGUUUGCUAACGGCGAGUCUUCUUUACCUACUGGAAGGCACUAUGACAAUAAGAAGUUGUACCUUCCUUGGGCCUCAAGGAACUCAAAGGUAGCCAGAGUGACAAAACCCAUAGAUAGACUAAAUUAUAAUUCAAGACAGGAUUUAACAUUUUCCCCUGGGGUAUGGUCUGUGAGGAGCUCUGUCAGAUUUCUUACUCCUCAUGUUCCCUUCCAUGUGUGGGUCUCCACUGACUGUGACAUGUGGGGCCUCUCUCACCCAGAUCAUGUGAGACUAGAGUGAAGUGGAAAAGGGGUAAUUCUCACAUCAGUUUGCAUAUCCAGUUGACCUCACUCUAAACUGCCUCUUUCACUAAGCCUCCAUCACUAAAGAAGAUGACAAUUUGGCUUUCAUCUCAGUUUUUCUUUCUCAAUUUGUUCAGAAGUUGAGUAGGGAAAAGGAACUAUUUGUUGGAGUAUUGGGAGCCCUUUCAAAGAGCCCCUAUAGACUAUAAAUCCUUCAGAUGUUCAGAGGCACAGGAGGCUGAGUGGCUUUAAAAUAUCCAGGAAGGCUUAGCCAAGGAGGCAAGGUCUCAGAGGAUGAGUUUAGUUUAGUUGGAUAUGGCCCAAGAGUAAACAGAAGCAUUCUUGGAGGAGGUCUCAUAAACCAAGGCACAAGAGAGAGGGAGAAACAUACCUAAAUAGGAAGCAAUGACAAGGUAACCAGAGCCCAAGAUUGCCUUGGGAGAGGUGGCAAGUGGAUAGAGGCAGACUGUGGAGAAUUGUGAGCAGUCAGUGUUGACUAAUCAGUUGGUCAAGAUAUAUUCCCAAAGGCUCUUCUAAGUCCAGGGGAAGUGACUACAGGCAGUCAAUGAAGGGUUACAAGACAGUCUAUAUGAGGCCACUGUGAGGCCUUCAAGUGGAAGAAUAUGACUGUUGAAGACUGGCUAGAGGUGCGGAAACAUGCAGGAGGACACAAAUAUUUGAUCUUGAACCAUUCCACCAGCUGAGGACAGCCUGGUUAACCAUUCAGAAAGCUUACUGGGAAAGGUGCAAAUGUGGAUCACUUGAUGGGAACUAUUUUUUCCAGUGAGGAGAAGUAGAAUCAGUAAAUGAACAGUUGAGAAAAAUCAGCAUCUUAUUUAACCACCAAAGAAAGACAGAUUGAAGCUACAAUGAGACCCCUCUUUCACCCAUCAAAGUAAAACAAUAAAAAUAAAUGAUAGUGUCCAGACAAGUGUAUGAGAGUAAGGGAUCUACUCUAAGUGAGUGGGUCCAGUCAGUCCUCCCACCAACAAAUAGCAAGUAGAUAUCAAGAAUCCUAAAUCUAUUAGUUCUAUGAGAAUAUAUCAGAGUAAGUUCCAUUUACAUAGAUAUUCAAUGCAAUGCUGUCUAUAAAUAUUGAAAAUAACUCAAAUGAAUACCAGUAGAGGAUGAAUUGAUUGAACAUGGGGCGUAUUAUGUGAAUUUUAUGUAAUCAAUAAUAUCCAUGAAAGCCAUAUACCAACAUAGAGAAUAUAUAUUUAUGUAACAUUCAGUGGAAAAAUAAUAGGCCUGAAACUGCUCACAAUGUGUGAUUAUGCAAGAAUAAACACAUGUAGAUACAAAUCAGAGGAAUAUAUACUAAGAAGUGCCUCUGUCUUUCUUUCUGGAAUGUAGUUGUAUAAAACAGUGCAGCUUCCUCAGAAGCAUAACACACACAGGCAGAGCACAGAGAUGGACAGCACUGAAGCCCACCUUUCUACCCUCCUGGCAAUGAGCAGAGAUGAUAUCUCAAAGCCAGGCUGUCAUUAUACAGAGAAAAGACAGCAUUAGGCAUGGGUUCCUAUAUCUACCUCAUCCUCCCCAGCCCCACUCAUCUACUAAUCUACCCUGGCAAGCCCAAGCCUUGACUUCCAAGACACAAGGCCUUUUUCUCUUUGUGAUGACUGAGGGCUGUGGUCACUCGGCAAAGCCUAGAGCCCCUCAGUGCCUCUCACACAAUGGUUGGAAAAAGGCAGUCAUCCCCCUGCACUGUACUCCUUGCCUCUACCUUCACACUGGCAGCUCCUAUUUUGCCCAUUUGGACUUUCAUCCCUAUUGCUCCAUGGAAAUCCCACAUUAAUGCUAUCAAGGAUGUCUGUGAUGGCAAAUCUGAUGAUUGUUUCUCUGUCCUUGUCCUACUUUUCCUACUCAGCAGUAUCCAACACAGUGACCAUUUCUUUCUUGGCACACUUGCUUUUACAAGCUUAUAAUAAACUAUAGAGUCAGCUGUCCAUAUCUGUGGUUUCCAGAUCAGUGGAUUCAACAAAUUCUUGUGGAUUGAAAAUAUUUUUAAAGAUUGUGUCUAGGCUGAACACAGAAAAACUUUUCUUGUCAUCAUCCACUAAAAAAU